rfam:Oryza sativa Japonica Group DNA, chromosome 3, cultivar: Nipponbare, complete sequence.
AAUAAGUACAGCCAUUAGUUUCAGUAUCCAAUUUUGAUCGUACAUCUUAUUUAAUUUUUUUAUUAGUAUUUUUGUUGUUGUAAGAUUAUAAAACAUGAAUAGUACUUUAUGUGUAAAUUAUGUUUUUUAUUUUUUUUUAAAAAAAAAUUAAUUAAGAUGAACGAUCAAAGUUGGACACGGAAACUCAUAGUUGUGCUUAUU